rnacentral:lncRNA from 1 species
CCGGGCUCAUACUUAUGAUAUUUUUCCAGGCAAAAUUUCAGGCCCAUAUUUCGGGCCGGGCCAGGCCCUGGCCUAGGAGGCGGGCCAAAAAUUUUUCCAAGCCCGGCCCGAACCUGACAUGGCCCGGCCCGAACCCGGCCUGGCAUGGACAGGUCUAAUAGAGAGUGACUUUUCAUUUUCUUUUUGUCUUUUCGAAGUUUG